ensembl:lncRNA
GGGUGUAGGGGUGAGGGUGUGUAGAGGAGGAUGUAGGGGUGAGGGUGUGUAGAGGAGGAUGUGGAGAAGAUGGUGGGUGUACAGGGGACAGGGGGUAUGUAGGGUGGGUGUGAAGAUAGAGGUUGUAGGGAGGAGGGUGUGGAGGGGGGUGUAGGGGUGAGGGUGUAUAGAGGAGGUUGUAGGGGUGAGGGUGUGUAGAGGAGGUUGUAGGGGUGAGGGUGUGUAGAGGAGGUUGUAGGGGUGAGGGUGUGUAGAGGAGGAUGUGGAGAAGAUGGUGGGUGUACAGGGGACAGGGGGUAUGUAGGGUGGG